UUGACAGGGAGAAAGAUGUGUUCUCCUUCUCCCUCAAUUUUUAGGUUACCUACUCUUCCUUUUCCUUUCCUUUAUCUAUAAGUUUCUUCUGUGUUUGCUUUAAAAAUUGACUAAACUCACACUGCCAUUACCCUUACCGCAUUGCUUGAUUGAAAAUUAGUGGAGCUUUUUUCUUCUCUUUUCUUUCGGUUUUUGUUUACCUAUUGUCUUACUCUUCCGUUUUUGCCUCCUUUUCCUGUCCUUUGUCUGUCAAUUUCUGCUGUUUCCAUAAAAACCUGGCCAAUAGCAAACCCACCUCCACAUGGUGUGAAGCUUUGACCUUUUGUUGCAAAUGGGUACCUUUAGGUGAUGUUUCUGAGCGCUUGAGCACUCUUCUUCAUGUCAUGCAACUCUGACCAUUUUCAAUUGGUUUUCCAGCCAUGGUGAAAUGGUGGCUGGGGUUGCUCUUUAAUUUGCCCAUGCCCUGUGGAUAAGAUCUCUCUUUCUCCUGUCUCACUCUACCUAUUGAAAGAUAUUACAUUCAUUGAAUAUUACAUUAAUCGAGUAUACUCCAUAUUUUCCUCCAACAUCUAUUUGUGACAUUCAGGCUUUACACUGUCUAACAAUUGUCCAGUCCUCAGAAUUCUCCUGCUCCAGUUGUCCCAACACUUGUUUGUUCCCCAUUGUUCAAGUUUAUUCCAAGAGAUUGGAGACUCUUGACUCAAAUCCACAACUAGCUUCUUCAUCGGAAGAUCCUACCUCCUCCACUGAUAAUUAGUCUGACCUAGAUCUUUCUAUUGUCCUUCGCAAGAGAAAAGCAACCAGACCUAAAGAACAGUUGGCAAUUGAAGAGGACCCAGAUAAGAAGAACAAGAAAGGCAACUUUUCUAUAAUGGCAUCAUCCCUUUGCUUACUGCAUAACCAAGAGUUCAAUAAAUUAAUGUAAGUGAAAUGUUCUUCCUUUUUUAGCCCCAAUUAACAAUCAAAUUGGUGAUGAUUACUUUAACUCAGAUGCAAUCUCAGAACUAAGGAUAUAUAUACAUUUUUUUUUAAGUUUACACA